rnacentral:lncRNA from 1 species
CUCAAAGUGCUGGGAUUACAGGCGUGAGCCACUGCGCCCGGCCGGCUAUUAUUAUUCUUAAGUGUGGCAUCUCAGGAUCUGAACUCCCACCUCUGAGAUGCAUCAUCCCUUUGUCACAUGGAAGGAAAGCCUGUAGUGUUUGCUGCCUCCUGUUUCCUGCCCCUUUGUUCGCAAGUACACUCGUCUUUUUUUGUUUGUUUCAACAGUAGAAAGAAAUGCAUGUCCUUUUGGAACUUAAGACGAAAGAUAAUUGUGAUUGGAGUUUUCCCACACCAUAAGGUGUGCCUUGUCUCCUGCAGGGCGGGUCAUCUGUGGGCUGUCCUCCACUUCCUCUGGGUGCUGAGUGAGCAACAGUGAGCAACAGCAGCUCUGGCUCAGAAUUGCUUCAGCUGUUUGGGCUCUUUUUUGGUUUCCCGUGAAUUUUAGAAGUUUUUCCUAGUUCUGUGAAAAAUGACAUUAGUAGCUUGAUAAGAAUAGCGCUGAAUCUAUAGAUUACUUUGGGCAGUAUGACCAUUUUAAUGAUGUUGGUUCUUCUAAUCUAUGGGCAUGGAGUAUUUUUCCACUUGUUUGUAUCAUCGAUAAUUUAUUUCAACAGUGUUCUGAAGUUCUACUUGUAGAGAUCUUUCACCUCCGUGGUUAAAUUCCAAGCAUCUCCAAGCCUCUACCCCAAGUUAGCUCCAGGGAUUGGGAGCAACAAAGGGCUCUCCCUCAGCCUUGGAUCCCCAGUGGAAAGAAGAGUCAUAGAGGGAGGCUCUCUGCCUCUUUCACAUACUGGGGCUUCACUCACCUUAUCCGCCUGAUGCCAGCAUGGGGGCUUUUUGCCUGAAUUCUCCUUCCUGGGAUCUGAGGUGUCCUUCACAAUUCUUGUGGAUUUCCCAUUUUUCUUCUUAAAUUAAAGCUCACAGAGUUUAUCUUUAUGAAUUUCCAAGUGGCUAAGACAUGCUAAAAGCCUCUAAUUCACCAUCCUGGAAAAAGAGAUAUAAUAGUUUGAAAUACAAAGGUUAAUGCUGAAAAAUACACACACACACACAACUAGAAGAGUUGAAAAUGCCUUUAGGGGAGGAAAUGAAUGAGGUUCAGGGCAGGGGCAGGAACUGCUGUUUUUCAUGAUAAGUCUUAUAGAGCUAUUCGGCUUUUCAUAUAACAUUCAUGUAUAUCCUUAAAAGAAAUUAGAAUUACAUUUAAAGAACACCUGCAGGCAGAGGCCGGGAAUGUGCAGGUCAUACUUGGAUAAUGCUUCAUGUUGUAUUUGGUAGAAAUGGAAAAUCAAACAUCGUAUGUUCUCACUGAUAUAUGGGAGCUAAGCUAUGAGGACACAAAGGUAUAAGAAUGAUGUAAUGGACUUUGGGGACUUGGGCGGAAAAAUGGGAGGGGAGCGAGGGACAAAAGACUACAAAUAUGGUGCAGUGUAUAGUCUUCAGGUGAUGGGUGCGCCAAAAUCUCACAAAUCACCACCAAAGAACUUACUCAUGUAACCAAAUACCACUUGUACCCCAAUAACUUAUGGAAAAAUAAUUUUUUUUUGAGACAGAGUCUCACUCUGUCACCCAGGCUGGAAUGCAGUGGUGACAUCUUGGCUCACUGAAAGCUCUGCCUCCCGGGUUCACGCCAUCCUCCUGCCUCAGCCUCCCGAGUAGCUGGGACUACAGGUGCCCACCACCAUGACCAACUAAUUUUUUGUAUUUUUAGUAGAGAUGGGGUUUCACCAUGUUAGCCAGGAUGGUCUCAAUCUCCUGACCCUGUGAUCCGCCCGCCUUGGCCUCCCAAAGUGCUGGGAUUACAGGUGUGAGCCACCGCACCUGGCUGGAAAAAUUAAAAUUUUAAAAAAGAAGUAAAGGUAGAUGAAAGAAAGGGGGAGUAGUCAUGCAACUGAUCUCUUAUGGAAAUAAAGUAAGAACUAAAGUUUGGUUUGGAUAUAAGUGGAGGUGGACAAAGUUUGGCAGACCUUAAAGUAAAAUCACCCAUAGUGUUUAAUUGGAUUUUCAUGUGAAUCCAUUAUCAUUAUAGGGAGAUGAGGGUAACAAUUUAUCUCCAUUUUACAAAUGAGGAUCUGAAACUCACAAAGAUUAAGUGUCUUGGCAAGGGCACCCCACUUAUGAGAAGCAGAGCUGGGACGUCUAACGCCAAGUUCAUCACUCUUCUUAAUUUUGCAGUGCCUGUUACCCUAAAGAGUUGGGCCUGAGCUCAAGGAUGGAUUAUUGAUACAGAUAACAGGCAGCCCAAGAGGUGCAUUUAUUUAAACAGUUAUUGACUAACCAUCCACAUUCAUUCAGAUGAUUAUGUGGUGCUCAACUAGGUGAUCACUAUGCAUUGUUCACCUGUCCUGAAGCCAAUCCCAGAGAAACUGGUAAAAUAAGGUGACUCAGGCACAGACAGCUCUGACUCAGAGUAGAGCCUUCCUCAGACAUCUUGCUUUCUCUGCUUGAUUCUACUACUUAUAUUGAGUUUGCAGGUGUUCCCUACCUAGCUGCCUUUGAAAACACUCCAUCCUCACUAUGUCGUUUAGAAAUUAAAUCUGCCUGGGGUCUUGGCAGCAGUGACCAGUUUAUUCCAGUUUGCCUGGAACUGUCCUUGUUUUAAGCACUGAAAGUCUCACAACCUAGGAAACCCUUUAGUCUCGGGCCCAGUGGAAUGGCUGGUACUGUGGGGUAUGUGUUUCUUGGCCACAUUUUUGAAUAUGACCUAGUUUGGCCCAUACGCUUUAAGAUGAUUCAACAAAUUAUGAAUGGUUCUUUGAGAACUUUUCACAUUAAGUACCUUGGUCCUGGAUUCAGCUGAUUAGAGAAGCAGGAGACAUGCAUAUAUUCCUCUUGUUUUUCAUCCCCCCAGUGUUCCCAGCUGAACAAAAAUCUGGUUAUAUAAUCCAGGGCAAGUGAUUUAAACAGCCUCAUGUGCCUCAUUGGUACUAACAAUGCUUCACAGGGAUGAAAUAAGAAAUUCUCUUCUGCUCUUUCCAUGGUCUCCCUCUGAUGCCGAGCCGAAGCUGGACUGUACUGCUGCCAUCUCGGCUCACUGCAACCUCCCUGCCUGAUUCUCCUGCCUCAGCCUGCCGAGUGCCUGCGAUUGCAGGCGCGCGCCGCCACGCCUGACUGGUUUUCGUAUCUUUUUGGUGGAGAUGGAGUUUCACGCUGUGUUGGCCGGGCUGGUCUCCAGCUCCUAACCGCAAGUGAUCCGCCAGCCU